AUCCUUUUCUCGCUCGCUUUCUCGGAGGGGAUACAGAAAAGGCUUACGUUUGUGAAGUGUCGUCGGUUAGCUUGAAGGACAGGAGAAUGAUCAUUUAUUCACAAAAUCUUACUUUUUCGAAUUUGGUGGUCGUCGAGGAAACGUGCACGUACACACCCGAUCCAAGUGAUAUAUAUAAAAAGGCUCUUUUUUUUCAAAACGUUCGAAUUGAAACUAGAGGCAUACCACCAUUUUUUUCGGGCGUUGUGGAAUCUGUACUAGUCACACAAUUUAAAAAAAACGCCAACACAGGAAGAAUCGCUAUGACGGAGAUUUGUAAUCAGAUCGGAUCCUCUCCCGUUACCUGGGUGGAGUGUUUGGCCCAAAAAGUUACAAGC